rnacentral:lncRNA from 1 species
GGGUAGGCUAGAGUUGAAACCCAUAAGAUCUCAAAGCCAAGUCAUGGCUCUGGAACGUGGAUAGCUAACUUCCACGCAACCCUGUCCAUGGCUAAGUCUUUGUCGAUAUUCCAAACCUUCAGGUCUCUGAUAUUCCAAACCUUCAGGUCUCUCUUAUCAGACUCCUCCCAUGUCAAGUUUGGUCUACCACGACCCCUCUUAACAUUCUCAGCACGCUUUAUCCGUCCGCUAUGCACCGGCGCUUCCGGUGGCCUCCGUUGAAUAUGUC